AGGGUACAGUGAUGAGUAAGUGCUUUACAAAUUUAUGACAAAUCUCAGUGCGCUGUGAUAGGCGACAUCUAACUUGUUAAGGCAAUAGGCAGGUGCAUUUAUAUAGAACAGAUCA